ACCUGGCUGGCUCAGUCAGUAGAGCCUGCGACUCCUGAUCUCGGGGUUGUGGGUUCAAAUCCCAAGAUGGGUG
rnacentral:tRNA from 1 species